AGAGGGUGCAAGCGUUGUUCGGAAUUAUUGGGCGUAAAGGGAGUGUAGGCGGUCUUUUAAGUCUUCUGUGAAAUCUACGGGCUUAGCCUGUAACGUGCAGAGGAAACUGGAAGGCUUGAGUGUCGGAGAGGAUAGGGGAAUACCCAGUGUAGAGGUGAAAUUCGUAGAGAUUGGGUGGAACACCAGUGGCGAAGGCGCCUAUCUGGCUGACAACUGACGCUGAGACUCGAAAGCAUGGGGAGCGAACAGGAUUAGAUACCCUGGUAGUCCACGCCGUAAACGAUGGGCGCUAGGUGUGGGAGGUGUCGACUCCUUCCGUGCCGCAGCUAACGCAUUAAGCGCCCCGCCUGGGGAGUACGGCCGCAAGGCUA
rnacentral:rRNA from 1 species